AAAAAUGGUUUCGGAUUCGGAGCUGGUGAAUCGGCUCUGGGAUGUGCUCCAAACCUCCGACCUCAAUACCACCACAGCCGACUCUAUCCGGCGCAUCCUGGAGUCAGAGUUCGACGUCGACUUGUCUGAUCACAAAGCCUUCAUCUGAGACCAAAUUGAUUCUUUCCUCGAGACCCGUGUUCAGAGGACCCACAACAACGCUGUCACUGUCGAAGAAGAAGAAGAUGAAUAAACGAUUCACGAGGAAGCUUCAAAGACUUUGAAACUUGAAGACAACAAGUCUAAGUUCGAAGAAGAAGAAGAAAGUGAUGGACAGAGAAACAAGAAAUGAAGAGAAAGGGUGAGGAGGUUCCUUCAUAUUUGUAUGGUUGUUGUAUAUUUCUUGUUGGUGAGUUUUCUUUUGAGAAUUGUCUUCCAUAAUUGUACUUCAAGUUAUUUUUGUGAUUGAACUCUAUGGAACAUGGAAUCCAGGAAUGAUGGGCUCCAAAAAGACUACAAUGGGCAAGGUUUUGUCUGAAGCACUAGCUUAUUCUUUUGUUGGCAGACAGGAAAUGCAACAAGGUUAGUUACUCCAGCUAUUGCUGCGGGUUUCUACAUUGGGCACCCUCGUCCCUAUGAUAGGAGCAAGUGGAUUUGCUAUAGCUGCAAUUGCAACUGCUAUAGGAACUGUUGUCUGUAGUUUUAGAUAAUCUCUUAAUAGUUGUCAAUAGAAAGAUAGAUAUGCAUAGUUUUAGAUGGUUUAAACUUUUUGUAUAGUUUAGAACUUAAAGAUAUAGUUUUCGAAUGUUUGGAAUGUAUAGAUAAUUGUUGAAUGUUUAUAAUUUAUGGAUAUAGUUUCUUUUUUAUGUUUCAAACAA